GAGUUUGAUCGUGGCUCAGAUUGAACGCUGGCGGUAUGCUUAACACAUGCAAGUCGAACGGUAACAGGAGAGAGCUUGCUCUUUUGCUGACGAGUGGCGGACGGGUGAGUAAUGCGUAGGAAUCUGCCUAGUAGUGGGGGACAACGUGUGGAAACGCACGCUAAUACCGCAUACGCCCUACGGGGGAAAGCGGGGAGUCUUCGGACCUCGCGCUAUUAGAUGAGCCUACGUUAGAUUAGCUAGUUGGUGGGGUAAAGGCCUACCAAGGCGACGAUCUAUAGCUGGUCUGAGAGGAUGAUCAGCCACACUGGGACUGAGACACGGCCCAGACUCCUACGGGAGGCAGCAGUGGGGAAUAUUGGACAAUGGGCGAAAGCCUGAUCCAGCAAUACCGCGUGUGUGAAGAAGGCCUGAGGGUUGUAAAGCACUUUCAAUUGUGAAGAAAUAUUUAAGGUUAAUAACCUUAAAUUUUGACGUUAACUUUAGUAAGAAGCACCGGCUAACUCCGUGCCAGCCGCCGCGGU
rnacentral:rRNA from 1 species